GCCCCGUCUCUCGCUCGAAACGAUGUGCUAGAAACUUGAUGCCUGUAAAAAGGUUAGUGGAAAUUGAGGGGCCAGCGGGCAGUGUGAUCUUUUUUCUCUCCAUCAGGAUCAUGUCCGUCUAUAAAUACGACCCUCCGGUAAACAGCAGGACACACCCAGCGCAAACUCACACGAGCUCACACAAGCUAGUAAGCCAGCCCACACGAGCUCCAUCGACCAUCGGAUGGGGUCCUUCGCCAGAGCUGCGCGUUUCCUUGUGCUCCUCCAGAUCGUUCUGUUCGUCAUCUCCGCCGUGCUCAUGAGCGGCCCCGUUUGCCAUGGAGCCCGCCCAGGGAUCAGUGGUGGAGCUCUCGACCCUAACCGGCCAACAGUUACAGUCCCGCCUGGUGCCCCCUACACCCGUCGGUGCGGCAGCUUGAAUAGGUGCCCACCAGGUGUUCAGCCCUGAUACCCGCACAAACACCUCUCCCGAACAAUGGAAGGAUUGCACCGCCUGGAUGCUUUCAUCUAGUUAUAGCAGUACAAGUUACUGCCACGACCUUAUGUUGAACCCAGAGUAAUAUCGUCUCGUGUACUUAGAUGUUUACUACUCCGAAUAAAAGUGGAUGUCUGUUGUUCGGUUCAGAAAUAAAGAUAGACGGUGUUUCUAACGAAUAAA